rnacentral:ncRNA from 2 species
GAAGCAGAAUUCACCAAG